GACAGAGGGUGCAAACGUUGUUCGGAAUUACUGGGCGUAAAGCGUGUGUAGGCGGUUAUUCAGGUCGGAUGUGAAAGCCCCAGGCUUAACCUGGGAAGUGCACCCGAAACCGGAUGACUUGAGUAUCGGAGAGGUUGGUAGAAUUCUCGGUGUAGAGGUGAAAUUCGUAGAUAUCGAGAGGAAUACCGGCGGCGAAGGCGGCCAACUGGACGAAUACUGACGCUGAGACACGAAAGCGUGGGGAGCAAACAGG
rnacentral:rRNA from 1 species